GGGAGCGGCAGACGGGUGAGUAACGCGUGGGAACGUACCUUUUGCUACGGAAUAACUCAGGGAAACUUGUGCUAAUACCGUAUGUGCCCUUCGGGGAAAGAUUUAUCGGCAAAGGAUCGGCCCGCGUUGGAUUAGCUAGUUGGUGAGGUAAAGGCUCACCAAGGCGACGAUCCAUAGCUGGUCUGAGAGGAUGAUCAGCCACACUGGGACUGAGACACGGCCCAGACUCCUACGGGAGGCAGCAGAU
rnacentral:rRNA from 1 species